UUUUUAGUACAUAACAUAUGUAUAAAUAAUAUAUAUAUUUUAAAUUCUUGUAUUUAUUUUUAUAGGAACACAGACAGAGGUGUCAUGUAAAAGUGUAGGCGCUCCAUUCACAACUUCAACACCUUUGAAGGAUUUUAGGCCAGCAAAAAAAGCUUGUCUAGAACUGGAGGAGGAGAAAAGUCUUUCUUUUGAAGUCUUUGAUAGUCAGGACACAACAUAUGAGCCAGCUGAGUCUGUCACGACUGUCACAGAGUCAUCACAACUUCUAUGUACAUCGAUAGAGCAGGAUACAAAAUACAUUGUAUUUGAAAAGUGCCUCUUGUAACUUUUUGAAACCUGCCCAGUGUGCACGAGAUGCUGUGACGUUCGGCCUCGAAGAAAAGGUUCUUUUGUUGCAAUUGAUCAAUUGUGCCCACAUUGUCAAUACUUUAGAAAAUGGCAAAGCCAACCUGUUGUUGGCAGCACAUCUUUGAGCAACCUCCAGUUAUCUGCUGCCAUAUACUUCACUGGCGCAUCCUUCUUCAAAUUACAAAAGGUAUUCAACGCAAUGCAUGUCAAGAUGAUUACACACAGAACUUUUCGAAAGCAUGCCAGCAUGUAUCUGGAACCUGCAAUAAUCUAUACGUGGAAGAAAGAACAAGAAGAAGUCUUGCGCCAGCUAAGCCAGGGGGACAAAGUGAUAGCGGGUGGUGAUAUGAGAGCGGACUCACCAGGCCACUCAGCAAAGUAUGGUGCAUAUACCUUAAUGGACCUUGCGAGCAACAUCAUGUUGGACAUACAGCUAGUGCAGGUGAGUACCAAUACAUCAAUAAACUAAAUUCAACUGCACUAACUACAU